rnacentral:rRNA from 1 species
UACAGAGGGUGCGAGCGUUAAUCGGAAUUACUGGGCGUAAAGGGUGCGUAGGUGGUUAUGUAAGUUAGAUGUGAAAUUCCUGGGCUUAACCUGGGGACUGCGUCUGAUACUGCAAAGCUAGAGUACUGUAGAGGGAAGUGGAAUUUCCGGUGUAGCAGUGAAAUGCGUAGAUAUCGGAAGGAACAUCAGUGGCGAAGGCGACUUCCUGGACAGAUACUGACACUGAGGCACGAAAGCGUGGGGAGCAAACAGG